rnacentral:lncRNA from 1 species
AGGCAAUCUGGAAAUGAGUUUUAUCUUUCCUCUAUCUCAAGAUACUCUUCUUAAAGUUACAUGGAGAUGGAGACUGAAGAUUAAAGUUUAAUCAGCUGAUUCUCAAACUCUAUAUCUCAGAUCUCACACCUCCAACUUUUUUAUCUGGGGUGGAAGGUGGUGAUGGGAAGCAUCUACUCGGGAGGCUGAGGCAGGAGAAUUGUUUGAACCCGGGUGGCAGAGGUUGCAGUGAACUGUGAUUGUGCCACUGCACUCCAGCCCGGACAACAGAGUGAGACUCCGUCUCAAAAAAACAAAAACAAAAACAAACAAACAAAAAAAAUUAUCUAGAGAUGGGGAUGAGGUAAGGGGUGUGGGUGUCUUGCUAUGUUGCCCAGGCUAGUGUGAAACUCCUGGGCUCACUUGAUUUGCCCGCCUCAGCCUCCUAAAGUGUUGG